rnacentral:rRNA from 1 species
GCGCAGCAGGCGAGAAUACUUCACACUGUGACGAAAGCGACGAUGAGGGAAUCCCAAGUGCUUGCACGUAAGUGUAAGCUAGUUUCUCUGUCUAAAACGCAGAGAGAGUAAGGGCUGGGUAAGACGGGUGCCAGCCGCCGCGGUAAUACCUGCAGCUCAAGUGGUGACCGUUAUUAUUGGGCCUAAAAACGUCCGUAGCCGGUUUAAUAAAUGCCUGGGUAAAUUGUGUAGCUUAACUAUACGAAUUCC